AUGCCCGGUGAUUAUGAAAAGACGCGUUAUUCUGAGGGUCCGACCUGCUGCCAGUCUGUCCUAAACCUUACCUUCUUCUCUCCUUUUAAACUCCACUCUCUCUUCAUCCUUCUCUCUCUCCCUCUGUCUGUUCUUAUUCAAUCUGGUUGCAGGGCCAUUGAUUGCGAUUAUGAGAUAUGAGGGCAU
ensembl:snoRNA Small nucleolar RNA SNORD97